UACACACCGCCCGUCACACCAUGGGAGUUGCUUUACCUGAAGACGGUGCGCUAACCGCAAGGAGGCAGCCGGCCACGGUAGGGUCAGCGACUGGGGUG
rnacentral:rRNA from 1 species